rnacentral:rRNA from 1 species
UCCUGGUGGCGAGUGGCGAACGGGUGAGUAAUACAUCGGAACGUGCCCUGUAGUGGGGGAUAACUAGUCGAAAGACUAGCUAAUACCGCAUACGACCUAAGGGUGAAAGUGGGGGACCGCAAGGCCUCAUGCUAUAGGAGCGGCCGAUGUCUGAUUAGCUAGUUGGUGGGGUAAAGGCCUACCAAGGCGACGAUCAGUAGCUGGUCUGAGAGGACGAUCAGCCACACUGGGACUGAGACACGGCCCAGACUCCUACGGGAGGCAGCAGUGGGGAAUUUUGGACAAUGGGGGCAACCCUGAUCCAGCAAUGCCGCGUGUGUGAAGAAGGCCUUCGGGUUGUAAAGCACUUUUGUCCGGGAAGAAAUCGCACCUGAUAAUACCGGGUGUGGAUGACGGUACCGGAAGAAUAAGGACCGGCUAACUACGUGCCAGCAGCCGCGGUAAUACGUAGGGUCCAAGCGUUAAUCGGAAUUACUGGGCGUAAAGCGUGCGCAGGCGGUUGUGCAAGACCGAUGUGAAAUCCCCGGGCUUAACCUGGGAAUUGCAUUGGUGACUGCACGGCUAGAGUGUGUCAGAGGGGGGUAGAAUUCCACGUGUAGCAGUGAAAUGCGUAGAGAUGUGGAGGAAUACCGAUGGCGAGGGCAGCCCCCUGGGAUAACACUGACGCUCAUGCACGAAAGCGUGGGGAGCAAACAGGAUUAGAUACCCUGGUAGUCCACGCCCUAAACGAUGUCAACUAGUUGUUGGGGAUUCAUUUCCUUAGUAACGUAGCUAACGCGUGAAGUUGACCGCCUGGGGAGUACGGUCGCAAGAUUAAAACUCAAAGGAAUUGACGGGGACCCGCACAAGCGGUGGAUGAUGUGGAUUAAUUCGAUGCAACGCGAAAAACCUUACCUACCC